rnacentral:rRNA from 1 species
AAGGAAUAUUGGUCAAUGGGCGAAAGCCUGAACCAGCCAUCCCGCGUGCAGGAUGAAGGUCCUAUGGAUUGUAAACUGCUUUUAUCAGGGAAGAAACGCCUUCAUUUAUGGGGGUCUGACGGUACCUGAGGAAUAAGCACCGGCUAACUCCGUGCCAGCAGCCGCGGUAAUACGGAGGGUGCGAGCGUUAUCCGGAAUCACUGGGUUUAAAGGGUGCGUAGGCGGGGAAUUAAGUCAGUGGUGAAAGCCUGUCGCUUAACGAUAGAAUUGCCAUUGAUACUGAUUUUCUUGAAUUGGGUUGAGGUUAGCGGAAUGUGACAUGUAGCGGUGAAAUGCAUAGAUAUGUCAUGGAACACCAAUUGCGAAGGCAGCUAGCUGGGCCUUGAUUGACGCUGAGGCACGAAAGCGUGGGUAGCGAAC